CAUUGAAACAGAAUGAUAACAAAUAAGGGCCCUGGAAGUUUAGGUCUCUAGCUUAUGGAUUAUAAAGUUUUGCUUCAAUAUGUGCUCCCAAGGUAUUUCAGCUCAAAAUGGUCAGUGGCCAAAUUUCACUUGCAGGAAGGUUUACAGCAUAUUGUUGCCUUUGGCAAGCGGAAGAAUACCAUCAGGAUCAUCGGCAUGGAUGGAAGCAGAAAAUGAUGCAAAAAAUGAAGAGGCUGAUAUUGAGGAGCUAGCAGUUGCAAAUCAGGUGUCAAAGUAAUUGUCAAUGGAACAGCAGUUGGAAUGAUAUCUAGGAAUGAUUUUAUAUCAGCUUUUGAUUCAAGUGUAGCUAGCUAGGAAUGAUUUCUUAUUUGGUACAUUAUCUAGUUACUUGAAUGUAUGGAUGUUUGAAAAAUGGUAAUUGAAUGAUAUGG